rnacentral:rRNA from 1 species
AUUGAACGCUGGCGGCAUGCCUUACACAUGCAAGUCGAACGGCAGCACGGGGCAACCUGGUGGCGAGUGGCGAACGGGUGCGUAAUGCAUCGGAACGUACCUUCCCGUGGGGGAUAACGUAGCGAAAGUUACACUAAUACCGAAUAUUCUGUGCGCAGGAAAGCAGGGGAUCGCAAGACCUCUCGCUGAUUGAGCGGCAUAUGUUAGAUGAGCUAGUUGGUGAGGUAAAGGCUCACCAAGGCGACGAGCUGUAGCGGGUCUGAGAGGAUGAUCCGCCACACUGGAGCUGAGACACGGUCCAGACUCCUACGGGAGGCAGCAGUGGGGAAUUUUGGACAAUGGGGGCAACCCUGAUCCAGCCAUGCCGCGUGAGUGAAGAAGGCCUUCGGGUUGUAAAGCUCUUUCGGCCGGAAAGAAAUCUCACGGGCUAAUACCCUGUGUGGAUGACGGUACCGGAAUAAGAAGCACCGGCUAACUACGUGCCAGCCGCCGCGGUAACAC